GUUAUUACCAACUUUUGGCCUGUAAGCCAUAGGAUUCAAGACGUAAUUGUGAAGCAGAUGCUUUGAGGUGUCCGGCUCCCUAAAGAAUGAACUCUUCCAUCCCCUUCUUCCAGACUGCUGACUAUAGACUCGGAACCUGUGAGGGUCCGACAUCCCCGACACCAUACACUAGAUUGAAAUUUGUUUCCCUUUGUCUUAAGAAAAACUCCUGGGGAUACUGAGGAUACCAAGAGGCUGUGCAGAGCCAGGUGUGCGUUCCAUAAUACGCCUAUUAUACAGCCAUUCUCAGUAGCCGUGCAUAUACAAUGACCCUUCUGAUUUGCCCCACUACCGAGUGCUUGCCAAGACUUCGGUCCCCACCUGGUACAACUUCAGGAAAAGGCCAAGGUAGCCUUAAUCAGCAUCACUGGGGACCAGUCCAAAGAGAACAGGUCAGAGGAAUACCAGAGUCUACUAUCAACAUGAGGAUUGUAAAUACUUAUAUCCACAAAACUCAGCAGGAAUGGGCCACAAAAGUGGAAGAUUGGGGAACAAUGUGCCCUUUGAAUUAAGGGAUCAGGCAUUUGCUUUCAUUGGCCCUGGUGCCAGCCCAGCACAGGGACCUAGGUGAAGUGUCAUUGAUGCUUUCACUUUAUGGAAGUCCAUAAAUACAAUUUGGUGGAGAUCAUACAGGACCAAACUAGUUUGGGAGCUAACACACCUGUGAUGUCUUGAUGGAGAUUUUCUUCAGCAGAGAUGGAACACACUCCUUUACUCAAAGUAGAAAAGCCAGCCCAACACAUACCAAUAAAAGAAGAUAGAGGAAAUAAAAGGAAAUUAACAGUGACUGCAGGACAUAUUGUUUAAGAAUCCAGAAAAGAAUCAAGUGCUCUUCACUCUCUGAUUUAUAUCACUUCAGGAAGAAAGAAGCCUUUUUGUCUCUUUAUCAAGCCUACAGUCAUGGAAUGUGUAUAUGCUUUUUUUUUUUUUUUGAGUACUGGGGAUUGAACUCAGGACCUUGCACCUCAGAACCACUGAGCUAAAUCCCCGGCCCAGUGUACAUGGUUUCUUCAGUUUCAGCCCUUGUGAUUGCCAUUCAACAGAAGUUGCUUAUACCAUGGUCAUCUUUCUUUGUAACCAAACCUUUUGCUUGUGAUUUUGCUCUCCUAAGUGUUAAUCAUUUGUGGCACCAACAACAGCACUAGUAGUUUCUUGCUUAUCCUGACACGUCACUGACUUCUUUCUUUUUUCUAGCUUUCAGUAUUUCUGGCAAUUCUUUCCUUUGCUACCCUUGGAAAUAAAACAUCUGACAUAGUCACAAGUCAUCAGCCAUGUCUAGAUGACCAUGAAUUCCAUGUACAUAACUGCUAGUAUAACAGAAAUAUGUCCAAUUAACACUGCUAGCAGAAGACUCUCCACUUGAAUGUCUCAAAACCUUAAUAUAAUAAGUAAGAAAUGGUCAAGUAGUACUUUUAAAUGACUUGACCUAAUAGUUACAUUCCCAAACUGGAGUUAAUUGCUUGCUUCAAAACUUCAUUUUCUCCAACUAGCUUACGAAUUACUGAUAGCUCUGGACCUUGAGUUUCUUGGUUUGUUGCAUUGAAAUCAUCUGUAGUGUUCCUUCCUUCUUCCAUCUUUCCAUUUCUCCAGGGAGUGAAAAAGCUUUUAGCUGAUCUUUGAUUUCUUCUUCUAUCUAACCAUGUUAUUCUUGGGGUGUAAUAAUGAAGUUUGCAUGCCCCCUUUUAUAAUCUGAUGUAGGCCCACAAGCAUUGAUGCUUUGCUAAUAUUGGUUUAUUUAUUAUGCCUUCUUUGGAAAAUCCUUUGUGAUUACUUGUUUGAAGUUAAAAAUACUGAUUGGAUACAAGAUUCUUUUUUUUUUUUUUCAGUUUUCAGCAUAUAUCUCCAACCUGCCCUCAGUCUAUAUUUGAGUUUAAUAAAUCACAGUUUAAUUUUACUAAGCUUAAUUUUCUGCUCUGUAAAUUGAGACUAAUAAUAUUAACAAUCUCAUAAGGUUGUGGUUAGGAUUAAUUUAAUACAUGCAAUCCUUAGAAUGAUGCCAGAGUUAUAUCAAACCCUUAUUCAGUGUUAAUUAUGUGGAAAAAAAUUCAUUAUCAUCUCAUGCUGAAGACAAAUUUUUUUUGUAGUUUUCUACUAUUUUUGCAAAAAACCCCCCCCACAAACAACACCCCCAAAUCAACAGCUUUUGAAGGGUUCAUGUUUAAUUCUGGGUCUGUAAAAAACUCUUGGUUGAUUUUUAGUUGUCUUGAUCCAAUUUUAUCCUCUGUAAUGAUAGUACUCUUUAAUGAUGAUUUUUUUAAAAAAACCCUAAAAACAUACAUAUUCUCUAGAAGGUAUUUAGUAUCAAGUAUCCUAAUAAAGAGUUGCUAUGAAGCAAAUCUUUUGCUAAAGGUGAUUCUCAAACUUGAGUUUACUAAAAUGGUCCAAGAAAUAUAGUAAGGGAUUUGCACUGCAGUAAUGUCUUUGAAGUCGUCGCCUGCCUUUAAUUUUUCAGUAAGCGCCUAAUCUCAUUAGAUUUCAUACACCCAGUGUUUGCACUUGCACAAAAGCUGUCCAAACAAAGCCAAAAUGUUGACACCACCGUCCUCUGAUGGCAUUUAGAAUGAAUAUAUUAAACACACUUGCACUAGCAUUGCAUUAAGCUAAGAAAUAAAUUUUGAACUUUGAACUCAGCAGGAUAAAAAGUUUUACUUGAUAGCUGAGCAAUUGUGUUGUGGUAUCAUGGGGGGAAGUCAUUGUGUUGUUCAGAGAAUCCAAAUAUGCAAACAUGCUCUGCAUACAGUAGGCACUGCACAAGUAAAGAAUUAAAGUAAGGAACAGUCCUCAAAUCCUGUUGUUAGGGACAUAAAUGGAAGGUAAAGUGGACUGGUGGAUUUGCUUUGAAAUGCACUGAAUAAACUUUGAUUAAACUCGCUUCAGAGAAAGGCUCUGAAAGAAUACCUUCUAGUAAGUGUGUGAACUAGAGUAUGCUUUACUUCAAUCCACUCUGGUAAUUCACAAAUUUAGGCAUUUUUCUUUAGAAUCUGGAAAUUAUAUUUUUAUUAAAGGUUUGGAAACUGAUGAUUAUAGAGAACAUAAAAGAUAAGACUUCUCUGACUUUUGUCAUAAAAUAAAGAUAGCAACAAGGCUAGAAUUUGGAACCAACUAAAUCUAAUGGCUAGAGCUAUUUAGUGGUUUCUAAGUAGACAGAAGUGAAAGUAAAAGAGUUUCCCCAUAUAUUGUGUAUAAAUGUUUAUAAACCUAUAUAUCUGUAAUAUGAUCAUUAAUUAAGAAAUAUAUACCAAUGAGGAAAAUACCACCCACCAAAAUCCAUUCAUUAAAGUUUGUGCACAUUACUUAUUGAAAAUUUCAUAAUUCCUCAGCCUGAUUUCUUUUACUUUAGACAUUAUUUGCUUGAGUUUUGCUUUUUGGCUUGUGUGAAAGGAUUUCACAAGAAACAUUUUUUGAAAUUUGUUGAUACCAGCUAUUAUCAGAAUAAUGUUGAAGAUAUCUAUGUUAACUUAUUGGUUUUUUGUGGAUAUCAUGAAAAAAGUUCUCUCAGGUCUUCAUAUCAAGAGCAGUAGUAAUUUCUAUGAAUAGCUGGC
rnacentral:lncRNA from 1 species